UUGUUGGUAAGGUAAAGGCUUACCAAGGCUAAGACGGGUAGCUGGCGUGAGAGCGCGGUCAGCCACCAUGGAACUGAGACACGGUCCAUACUCCUACGGGAGGCAGCAAUUAGGAAUCUUGCGCAAUGGGGGCAACCCUGACGCAGCGACACAGUGUGGAGGAGGAAGGUCUUCGGAUUGUAAACUCCUUUUAUGAGGGAAGAAUAGAUGACGGUACCUCAUGAAUAAGCACCUGCUAACUACGUGCCAGAAGCAUCGGUGAUGCGUAGGGUGCGAACGUUAUCCGGAUUUAUUGGGCGUAUAGAGAAGCGUAGGUGUUCCUGUAAGUCUUUAGUUAAAUACCACGGCUCAACCGUGGGACAGCUUUGGAAACUACAGGAAUAGAGACAGGAAGAGGCGAAUGGAAUUCCCAGUGGAGCGGUGAAAUGCAUUGAUAUUGGGAGGAACAUCAGUGGCGAAGGCGAUUCGCUGGUCCUUGUCUGACACUAAGGCUCGAAAGCGUGGGGAGCGAAACGGAUUAGAUACCCGUGUAGUCCACGCCGUAAACUUUGGAUGCUAGGUGUUCGGUACAACUACUCAACUCUUCGGAGUUGAAUGGAAGUAUUG
rnacentral:rRNA from 1 species